rnacentral:SRP_RNA from 16 species
UCGGGAAGGCUGGGGAUUCAGACGCCCCCCAACACCCGAACAUCACUUGUGCCCAGUUCAUGGAUUGGUCGGUUUUCCGGGAUUCCAUGUCCAAGUCCCGGUUCUGCCUGCUGCCCAACAUCCACGACGCGUCGCCCCGUGUGGCCUCCG